rnacentral:ncRNA from 20 species
UUGUCUCAGGUUUGUGGUUGAAAGUCGAUGCCAGAUGCAGGCGAAGCGAUCCACGUAAGAUAAUUCAAUAGAGAAUUGUUGAUCAUGGUGCGUCUUAGAAGUAAGUCCAGCCGGUUUUACCGAGAGAAGGAGUUGUGAUGCGAACACUGAGCUAAACUUCCAGCUGGCGAGUGUGGGGGAAAAGACCAGGUCAACUGAGACAG